GCUCCAGUGGCCUAGUGGUUAGAGCGUCCGCCUCAGAUUCGGGAGGUUGUGGGUUCAAUCCCCGGUCGAAUCA